UGGCGGGGACUAUGAAUGUAAAAAUAUUGUUCUGAGAAGAGGCCCAUAGGUUUCAGCAGACUCUCAGUGAGAUCCAUGACUGAAAAAUGGCUAACAACCUUUUGGGAGGUGGCUUUACAUUGUGGGAAGAGCAUUGAACGUGGAGUGUGGAAGAUCUGUUUAAAUCCUGUCUGAAACUUGAAGCAUUUGUGGAAGUUCAGGUCAUUGUCUCCUGGAGGGGCCAGCUCAGCUCCUGACACCCAUUGAUGACAGCCCAGAAGGUAGAAGAAGAUACUGUCCUUAUAAUGCUUCUUUUACUGGUAGUGAGUGCAUGUUACCACCACAGACCACCAUGUAGUUGCCGAGGAUGCUCACUUGUGGAAGACUUGCUACCCAAUGACCUUCCUGGCCAUGAAGGUUCUGGCAAUGAUUUCAUCAUCAUUUCUACUUGUCGCACUUGUAAGAAUGAUGUAUGGAUCAGUUGUUUUGCUGGCAAGGUUGCCUUGGAAACAUGGCACUUUACACAGAUUUCAGAGUGAAUCUUAUUAAUAAAAAAGCUGUUCUGCACCCUGUUAAAAGGACUAGCAUAUGAAGGCAGUGUGAUUUUUGACAUGCAUUUUUCCCCCUGUUCUU